rnacentral:misc_RNA from 1 species
AUCAGGUAUUUGUUGCUACUUCCUCCGUUUCACAAUGUAAGUCAUUAUAAUAUUUCCCACAUUCAUAUUGAUCUUCAUGUAUACUCAUUAACAUCAAUAUGCAUGUGGGAAAUAUUAUAAUGACUUACAUUGUGAAACGG